rnacentral:lncRNA from 1 species
AGAAGCCCAUGUUUUAAGAAGUCCACCUUUUAUUUCAAGAUUCAGCACUACCACUGAGGAAGGAGCAUGACAAGCAAAAUUUAUUUGGAUAAUUCAGUAAAUGACAUAUUUGAUUUGGAAGCAUAGUUUGUCAGAAUGCAGGAAACAAGGGAAUGACAAGGCAGCAUCAUGUGCAGGGAGAAGAGGCACAAGAAUGUGGAAUAUGUGACCCAUGUACAUGAAGAUAUUCCUGGUUCACUCAAAAGUACGAUUUUGAGAAGCCCACCUAGAGUCAGAAGGCCCUUGAAAGAUGCAGACCCUCAACUUUGGACUUCCCAGCCUCUAGAACUGUAAG